rnacentral:tRNA from 1 species
GAGGGUGUAGCUGGGUGGUACAGUGCAUGUCUGGCAUGCAUGAGAUCCUGGGUUCAAGCCCCAGUACCUCCA